rnacentral:lncRNA from 1 species
UUCUUCUUUAUGAUAAAUCUCUUCAAAAAGUUGAUCAAACCAAGCACAUGUUUCCAUGCAUCAAUAAUAGGAGCCUUAAUCUCCAAUUUUUGGAAGACUUCGAUGAAGUACUUGAACCUAUUUUCCUUCCUAUAAUUUUUCUUUUUCUGAGGAAGUGGUUUUUCACAUGACCUGUUUUUCUUUCCUCUCUUCCUCUUUUUCUUAAUUUUCUCCUCCCUUGGCUUUCUCUUUUUCUUUUUCUUUCUUUCUUUAUUUUCACAUUUUUUUUCUUUUUUUUCUUUUCUUUCAACCACUGCUUUUCCUUUCUCAUCAUCCUUCUCACUCUCAUUCAACUUUUCUGUUUCAUUCUCCUCUAUCUUUUCCGCAGCAACAACUUUUUCUGCUUUUAUUUCCUCUUUCUUUUCUUCUUCAGGGAUAACUUCAGUAUUAUCCCUAAUAAUGCCCAGAGACUUCAAUACCUUUGUUAUCUCAUCUUCCUCUAUCUUCUUUUCAUCAAUAACCUUGUCAUUCUCAAAGAUAGGAUCUUGACAUUCUUCCUUAGGGAUAACUUCAGUAUUAACCCUAAUAAUACUUAGAGAUUUCAACGCAUAAGAGUGUUGCUCCUGCAAUAAACGUUCCUUAGCUUCCCCC